UAAUCUCCCAAUCCAUGGUUUUCCCUCUCCCUUCUCUCUCAAUCUUCCAACAAAUCCCAUCUCCAUACUCAUCUCCGGCGAAUAUCACUCCUCCCUGUUUGUUGAAUGGCCGGAAAGCGCUCGUGUAUCGAUCUCGAAACCAAGCUCUAGGGUUUAUCAGUGCAAAUCUUGACGGUUUCCUCAACGCCACCUCUUUCCCGUCCGAACUGUCGUGAAGGUACCAGUUCAGGAUUCCGGUAUUGCCAUGCACCAUUUGCUCGAACUUCCAUGGUCUCAAGCUAGCUGUUGCGGUUUCUCCGACUGCUAAUUUUAUGCAUGGUUGGAGUUAUUUGUAGUGAGAUUUUCGAUGGGAAAUGCUUCUCGGAUCUUCCGACCCCACGUUUUGACAUGAGUGUGUCGUUCACGAGUUGGAUGACACCGCACCUGAGAAUUUGAGGGAGUACCUCUAAAGAAUCCUACGAAGGGGAGGAAACUACCAGAUUUCUAGAGGGUGUUUGACACGCAUUAUUGAGUUGAGUUGGUAUUAUUUGUUAAGUUAAAUAGUCCAUGGACUUAAAAGUUUGUGUUUAGAGUGCUGGAAUUUAGUGGAGUUGAGUUAGGAAGUCGGUGUUGACUGCUAAGUUGAGUUUAGUUACUUUGUCAGGGGUUAACCUAUAUAACUUUUCUUUAUUUUCUCAAUUUUCAAACACUCAAUUUUUCAGAACUUUUUUUUUUUUUUUUUAACAAUUUUGUGUAUGCAAAAUUUCACAUAUAUUUUACUAUAUUUUUAAUAAGAUCAACUAACAAAUGACAUACAUUCAAGUUUGUGCAAUGUACAUUAAACAAUGUGAAAAAAAGGGUUAAGCGGCCCAUAGAUGGAUUUAGGAUUUUUCUAAAGACAUCUUUUCAAAUUGUAAGUUAUGGUUUAUAAUGCAUGUAUGUUUGGUUGGUCUAAAGCAUUAUAUGUGUCACCACUGCUAUAAAUUUGGGAUUUAAUUGCACAUGUAGUCAUGAAAAAAGGGUAUGAAUGGAUUAAAAUGUGCAUUAAAAAUAAAAAGUUUGGAAUUUUGAUGGGGAAAAAUGCUACUUUCGGAUGGGACUAUUUCUAGACACAUUUUUUGCGAGAAUUUAAAUGUCAUUAAAAAACACUCAAUUUUUUAUCUUCAAUCGCAAAUUCACUCGACAGAAACCCUUCAUCCCUUCGACAUAAACCCUCGACACCCAAAACUGUCCACAUGAAAAUUGUCGUGCUCAUUCCUUCGCCAUGUCCUCCUUUCGACAUCCUCCAUCAUGUCGUCAUUUGUAUUUGUCGGACAUCCCUUACCUUCGUUGUUCGUCAUGGUGCCUUGUAGGAAUGACUGUGGUUUUUGUUUGUCGUCCGUCAUCGUGGUGAACGUCCUCAUACGUCGUCCAACCUAUAGGAACGAUUAGGUUGGUUUUGAAACACCCCCCUCGGUCAGCGGAAGAUUUCUUGAAAUCAAUUUCUCUAAAUUGCAUUUGUAUUUUUCAUUUUAUUCCUUCUACUUUAUUUGAAAGUGAAUCUAAUAUGAAAUUAUUGGAUAAUUUGUAUUGUUGACUUGGAUAUACUAUUACUUUCUAUAAGUUCUUUCCAUUAGUAAUUGUCUCUGGUACCUGACAUAGAAAAUACUAAUUUUCUUUUCUUACGUAGAAAUAAUGUAGGGUUAGAAUUUUGAUUUGUUUUUUGUUUUCUUAAAAUGGGAAUCUACAUUAAAACCUAAGUACCCAAUCAAGAAAUAUCAAUAUUCCUAAAAGAAAAAGAAAGAAAAACUUUCAUAGUGAGAUGGAAGGCGAAUAUACCAACAAAAUAAUUGGAAGGAAAAUUGAAGAAUUUAGAGAUAUCCCAAAUGACAACAUUUCUUCAUAGAUCGAUAAAUAUGCUUAUAGUUUAUACCAACUUAUCUUAUAAAUAUGUUCGAGAUGGUCUUAAACUUAUGUGGGAAGAAGAUGGUUAGUGUUUUGAUGCACGUGAAGAACAAUUUUUCAACUUGCAAACUUUUUUAGUGUGAACCAUCAAUGAUUUUCCUGUAUUCGGUAAUCUAUGUGAAGUAGUGUCAAGGGGUUAAGGCUUGUCCAAUAUGUAGGGAGGACAUCUCUUCUAUUAGACUAUCACAUGGGAAGAAAAAUGCUUACAUGAGGCAAAAGAUGCUUACUAAGACAUCACCAUAGGAGAUAAAAAAAAAACAUUUGAUGGUAAUCAAGGGCAUGAGACACCUUAUCACCUUUUAUCAGGUAAGACAAUCUACAGUAGACUUAAGGACAAGUCCUUUACAUGCAGUAAAAGGUUCAGGAGAAGAAUGAAUGACAAAAUUUCAAAUGACUAUUGAAAGAUGAUUUUUGCCUUCUUUGAGUUACCAUACUAGAAAAAAUUGCAUGUAAGACACUGUUUGCUUGAAAAGUGCUUUCCACCGUCCCUUUUCACCAUUAUGUUACAUUGAUGUGUCCACCUGGUGUGAGAGGCAAAACUAUGUGGACCCAUAUACCUACGGUGGGUAUAUAUGAAAGUGUAUAUAUGAAAGUGUUCAAAAAUUAUGUUUGUAAUAGAAAUUGUUUGGAAGGGUCAA